GGAAUAUUGGACAAUGGGGGGAACCCUGAUCCAGCCAUGCCGCGUGUGUGAAGAAGGCCUUUUGGUUGUAAAGCACUUUAAGCGAGGAGGAGGCUACUUUGGUUAAUACCCAGAGAUAGUGGACGUUACUCGCAGAAUAAGCACCGGCUAACUCUGUGCCAGCAGCCGCGGUAAUACAGAGGGUGCGAGCGUUAAUCGGAUUUACUGGGCGUAAAGCGUACGUAGGUGGUCUUUUAAGUCGGAUGUGAAAUCCCUGAGCUUAACUUAGGAAUUGCAUUCGAUACUGGGAGACUAGAGUAUGGGAGAGGAUGGUAGAAUUCCAGGUGUAGCGGUGAAAUGCGUAGAGAUCUGGAGGAAUACCGAUGGCGAAGGCAGCCAUCUGGCCUAAUACUGACACUGAGGUACGAAAGCAUGGGGAGCAAACAGGAUUAGAUACCCCAG
rnacentral:rRNA from 1 species